rnacentral:rRNA from 1 species
GUGGGGAAUAUUGGACAAUGGGCGAAAGCCUGAUCCAGCCAUGCCGCGUGUGUGAAGAAGGUCUUCGGAUUGUAAAGCACUUUAAGUUGGGAGGAAGGGCAGUAAGUUAAUACCUUGCUGUUUUGACGUUACCGACAGAAUAAGCACCGGCUAACUUCGUGCCAGCAGCCGCGGUAAUACGAAGGGUGCAAGAGUUAAUCGGAAUUACUGGGCGUAAAGCGCGCGUAGGUGGUUUUGUAAGUUGGAGGUGAAAUCCCCGGGCUCAACCUGGGAACUGCCUCCAAAACUGCAUGACUAGAGUACGGUAGAGGGUAGUGGAAUUUCCUGUGUAGCGGUGAAAUGCGUAGAUAUAGGAAGGAACACCAGUGGCGAAGGCGACUACCUGGACUGAUACUGACACUGAGGUGCGAAAGCGUGGGGAGCAAACAGGAUUAGAAACCCCUGUAGUCC